rnacentral:lncRNA from 1 species
GGAGCGGCUGUCAACUUAAUGUUGCAUUCAUUGUUUAAGAAGAUGGGGCAAACAGAUGCAAACUUUCGACCUCACAACAUGGUCCUCUCUGUUAGACGAUAGACCUAGAUCUAGAGAGGGGUGAAUAAAUCCCAAGUUAAAAUUUUAUUCGAAAAUUUGAUUUAGAAAUGUUUAUGAUGCGGAAGCAAGUUUCAAAUAUUCCCAGAUUCAAAAU